GUAAUCACAAGCCCUGCUUGAACGGCGGAACCUGCCAGCAGACAGAUGAAGGCGCUUUCCGAUGCACUUGUUCCCCAGAGUUUAAUGGAAAACACUGUGGGAGAGCAAUAACCUAUACGCACCUUGGAUGCUACGUAGAUAAUACCGAUCGUGCCAUUAAGGGAUUUGAGGAAAGUCCAGCUACACUGCAAUAUUGCUAUCAGCAGGCUGUGAGUCAUGGGUACAGAGCAUUCGCAAUGCAGUAUGGCGAUGAGUGCUAUACGGGCGCAGACGCACAUAAUACCUAUUCCAAGUAUGGUAGCGGUUCAGGUUGUGGGGGUGGUACCGGGGGAUUCUGGAGAAACGAUGUUUACCAAAUAAACUACUAAAUGAAAAUCUUUGUUGCACAGAUUGCUCAUACCAAAUCAAAUUACACUCAAAUAAUUUAAAUUGGAUAUGUAAAAUUAUCCACAUCGAAAAAGUAAGAACGAAGCAUUUUCUCACUAAUUUUUGCUGUUGUUGUUGUUACCUGAAUUUAUGUCAAUCUUUUUUUCUUCAGCCAUGGAUCCUCAAUUUGGCUCGUAAAACGUAUAUGGGCAAUUCCAAAGUGGGCAUUCUAAUAUAUAUAAAGAUUAAUGUACUGCUCAUAGAACGUGGCAGAUAAUAUAAUGCCAUUAUAUAAAUUCCAUAAUCAAUGAGUUAACACCUCCAUUACUAUAACGUCCCUAUCCGCCUAGAAAAUAUAGGCCCAGCCCCAAAACGUCAGAAAUGCAUACUAAACAUAACCAGAGUCGGAUACACAAGUAUUCAUCCAAGGCGUAGACGACCUUCAAAAGCGCAUCAAAGCAAUGUAACAGAAAUGAUUCCAUUGUCAAAAUAUGGAAUUUUGAACAUCAAAAUAAAUUUUAUGGCCGAAA